GUGGAUUAGAUACGCUGGUAGUCCACGCUGUAAACGAUGAUCACUCGUUGUUUGCGAUACACUGCAAGUGACCAAGAGAAAUCGAUAAGUGAUCCACCUGGGGAGUACGUUGGCAACAAUGAAACUCAAAGGAAUUGACGGGGGCCCGCACAAGCGGAGGAACAUGUGGUUUAAUUCGAUGAUACGCGAGGAACCUUACCUGGGUUUAAAUGGGGAGUGACAGCUUGUGAAAGCAGGCCUUCUUCGGACACUCUUCAAGGUGCUGCACGGCCGUCGUCAACU
rnacentral:rRNA from 1 species